GGGUCGGUAGCUCAGUGGUAGAGCACCGGACUUUUAAUCCGGGUGUCGAGGGUUCGAGUCCCUCCCGACUCACCA
rnacentral:tRNA from 1 species